AAUAUUUUUUAGAAAAUCCCAUCAGCUAUUGUCAGUUGGAGACAGUAACAAAGGGAAAGUAAUAAAAAAAAACAUUAAAAAGUCCAAGUUAAAUAACAAGCUGUGAAAAGAGAGCAGACAAACCAAUUUAUAACAUCAAAUGUGACUUGCAAAAACUAGAACUAUGAUUUUGUGUUUUAUUGGAGUGUCACAGUUACUCUGUAACACUGCCUUUGCUGAGCAAGCUGUGAAGAAUUAAACCAAAGCCUUUUGGUCACAAGCAUGGAAAUGAGUGUCAGUUAAGACAGCAUUCUUACUUAGUGUCUUUGUUAAUAUAUUUAGCAUCAUUAGGGGCCUUGGGUUUAAAUUCUUUAGCACAGGUGUCAGAUAUACUGUCAACAGAAUUCCACAGAUUUCUCAUCUCAGGCCACACCUAUUCCUUUCUUUCCUAAAUUCCUGUAGCAUCCUGUUACAAGCUGCUGCUUUUAUAGACAAAAUAUGUUCUAGAACAGCAGUUCUAAAAUAAAAGGUUUGAUUUUUCCCUUCCUGCAGGAUUUCAAACACAUUAUCCAGCCUCUCUAUCCUCUUUGUAGCAGAGAGCUCCAUCUCUAAGGCAGAUUCAAACUUUCCAGUGAGAAGAAACAGUUUAGACAAGCAAGUGGAAUUUGCACAGCGAGACCAACUCCAAAGGGAGCACGUGUCACCACAAGAUGGAGCACAAAAUGCAGAGGACAUUCCCACCUCCCCUGCAGCUCCCUGCUCAACACCCACCCAAUCCCAAGUGCAAACAGCUGGAACCUGCCAGGCCAAACAAUAGUUGGUCUCUACCUGAAGUGUGUGCAAUACCUGAGCCAGGGCAAAUACAGAACAGCAUCUGCUCUUCCCCAUAGAUUCUGAGCACCAGCAGGGCACUGCUUGGGACUGAACUCCAAAAUCUGACUGCCUGCACUCAGGAAUCUCAAAAUUUAGAAAACUAAGAGGUGUUACAGGUUCCAGGAUCUCUUGUGAAUUCCCAAGUGUAAUGACUGAUCCUGUCCCUUCCUUAAAAUCAAAGAAACUACACCACCACUAACAUCAGUUGGGAUGAUUUAGAGGCUAGAUUUCAUAUCACCUCAUGACCAGAAAAAAAGAAGACUGAGAUGGGAAAGAAAAUGCUGAAGGAAUUUGAAGAAUUCAGAGCAUUGCUACAGAAAAAAGCAAUCUGGCACACAGGAUUAAAUGUUUGUGCUCUUGUAACUCCUGAAUCUCAUCAGAGUAAGAAUUUGCUGAGCUGUCCUGUGGAUUAAUUUACUGCAGUAUGAACUUUGAGGAAAUGUAAAGCAGAGGCUGCUGGGUUACUCCAGACACUGCCUGAGCUCCAUGGAAAAGCAGCUCCAUCUGGCUUCCUCCUAACUGCAGGAAGGUCCCAAAUUUAGACUGACACAAACCAGGAGAGAUGGCUGCCACAUCUAGAAGAUUCUUGACUCUAGAAAGUUCUGGGGUGCCUCCUGGGGUGAUAAGACACACUCAAAAAGAAGUUCCUUCUGAAGUAACAAAGGAAUUGUUUACAGCUCUUUAUAACUUUAUUUGCCAAGAUGCAAUUUUAUUUAGAAGUGACAUUUCAUGCAA